rnacentral:rRNA from 1 species
UUUGAUCAUGGCUCAGGAUGAACGCUAGCGGCAGGCCUAAUACAUGCAAGUCGAGCGGCAAGUUGGGUAGUAAUACUUAACCUAGAGCGGCGCACGGGUGCGUAACGCGUAUGCAACCUACCUUUUACUGGGGGAUAGCCCGGAGAAAUCUGGAUUAAUACCCCAUGGCACCUAUGAAUCGCCUGAUUUAUAGUUUAAAGAUUUAUCGGUAAGAGAUGGGCAUGCGUCUGAUUAGCUAGUUGGCGGGGUAAGGGCCCACCAAGGCGACGAUCAGUAGGGGUUCUGAGAGGAAGGUCCCCCACACUGGCACUGAGAUACGGGCCAGACUCCUACGGGAGGCAGCAGUAGGGAAUAUUGGGCAAUGGUCGCAAGACUGACCCAGCCAUGCCGCGUGCAGGAAGACGGCCCUCUGGGUUGUAAACUGCUUUUAUCUGGGAAGAAAAAGUCCAUGCGUGGAAAAUUGCCGGUACCAGAUGAAUAAGCACCGGCUAACUCCGUGCCAGCAGCCGCGGUAAUACGGAGGGUGCAAGCGUUGUCCGGAUUUAUUGGGUUUAAAGGGUGCGUAGGCGGCUGAAUAAGUCAGCGGUGAAAGACUUCGGCUUAACCGGAGCAGUGCCGUUGAUACUGUUUAGCUUGAGUGUUGGAGGGGUACAUGGAAUUGAUGGUGUAGCGGUGAAAUGCAUAGAUACCAUCAGGAACACCGAUAGCGAAGGCAUUGUACUGGCCAACAACUGACGCUGAGGCACGAAAGUGUGGGGAUCGAACAGGAUUAGAUACCCUGGUAGUCCACACUGUAAACGAUGAUUACUCGCUGUUAUGGUGUAUGCUGUAGCGGCCAAGCGAAAGCGUUCAAGUAAUCCACCUGGGGAGUACGC